rnacentral:rRNA from 1 species
CGGUAUAUUGACCGUGCCAAGGUAGCAUAAUAAUUAGUCUUUUAAUUGAAGACUGGAAUGAAAGGUUGAACAAGAAGUUAGCUGUCUCUAAAUUAAAUUUUGAAUUUAACAUUUAAGUGAAAAGGCUUAAAUAUUUUAAAGGGACGAUAAGACCCUAUAAAUCUUUAUACUUGAUUUUAUAGAGCAAAAUAUUAAAAUAAUUUUUGUUCAAUAGGUUUGGGUAUUUUGUUGGGGCGACAGGAGUAUAAAAUGUAACUGCUCUAAAAUAAUAGUUAGUUGAUAUUUAGUUAAGUGAUCCUUUAAUAAAGAUGUUAGUUUAAGUUACUUUAGGGAUAACAGCGUAAUUUUUUUUGAGAGUCCAUAUCGAAAAAAAAGUUUGCGACCUCGAUGUUGAAUUAAAGAUCCUUUACGGUGCAGAAG